rnacentral:tRNA from 1 species
GCGAGGGUGGCGGAACUGGCAGACGCGCCAGACUUAGGAUCUGGUGGUUCACACCGUGCGGGUUCAAGUCCCGCCCUUCGCA